AUUAAUUAACCCCACUUUUUUUAUUAAGUUUUUUGAUAAUUUGCUUGACUUGGGAUCCAAAUAAGGGUGGUUGUGGUUUGGUUUUUAGAUUGGUUUAUAUUUCUUUUCAGAUAAAAUGUGUCAUGGACUCAUCUGGUGAGCCAGGCAAUUGGGCAGGGGUUGGCGGGUGAUUCUUCUGAUCCCGGAGUCAUAGCCUGAGGUGGUUUGGUGAUGUUCAGCUGAUGAACGGGUCAUUUGCAGGGUUCGAGUGGCUUUGAUGCUGCAUCUGGUGACGUGAGGUGGAUGCUGGAAGGUGAGGCUCAGCCGACUCACGCCGAGCACUGCAGAGUGGACGGGCUUCUCACACAGGUGCUCAGCGCUCCCAGAGGGCGUGCUCAACCAGGCCCAGGCAGCAGGGGUGAGACUUCUCAUGCCCUAACCUCAGAAGUCCCAGAAUGUCCUGUCUACCAAAUUUUAUCCAUUGAGCAGGUCACUCAGGCCAGCUUGAGAGUCGAGGAGAUAGAAUGAGAGUCCCCCUGUGUGUGGAAGGAGUAACAUGGAAUAUUGGGCAGUCUUUGAUCCCCACUGCAGGUUUACAUUUUGCAGGGCACGAAGCCAUCACCAGCCACUCUCUGGGUGUCACAGUGGUCAUUUAUCCUUAGGUCCACAGUUCGGGCACGCCACAGGCUGAUGAUUUGCCACUUCUGAGUGAGGUGUCUUUAAAUUCAGCUCCGGGGAACAGGUGGUGGUUCCAAGUAGAGUCACAAGCCUCCCAGGUUGGAACAUCAAAGGAUCUUCAGCCCUCCUGAUGGAGUGUGGAGGCUGCAGCUGGGAGGUGACUGUUAAGGAUAUCAUGGGGCCUCCCUGCAAUGGAAUAAUUGUGCUGAAACAAGCAGGCAGUGUGUGGCGUUGACGGCCAGUGAGGAAAGCGUACCGAGAAGUGGUGUUAAAUCAAAAAGGAAGGUACGGAGCAGGCCCACAGCAUGCUAUGCUUUGUGUAAAAAGGGACAGUGGUGGUGAGAGGCUGUACGUGCCCAAAUUGCCUAAUAAUCUUUGAAGAACAUAAAGCCACGUGCUGACAGUGGACAGCGAUGGGCCGUGAAGCCACUUGCUGACAGUGGACAGCGAUGGGCCGUGAAGCCACGUGCUGACAGUGGACAGCGAUGGGCCGUGAAGCCCUGAGCUGACAGUGGGCAGUGAUGGGCUGUGAAGCCCUGUGCU